CAUCACUUUAUGGUUGAGUAGGUAAAUCCUCACAGUCGCAGUGUUGGCUGGUCCAUUGGGUCAGGUGGGGCCUCCCUAUGGGUUUUUUUUUUGUUUUGUUUAAAUCAAAUCUAUUAAUUUGAUAAGAACUAAACAGUGUGUUUUUCAGAUAAUGCAUUUCUUGGAAAGAUAAUAUUUACAGACGAAGGCCUAGUUCAAACCAGUUUACAAAUUGAUCGAUUUUGAGGUAGGCUGUGACCGCUAUGUAUGGUUAGGUCUUGGCCAAGGACGCUUGUGAGAUGGUCUGAGUUCUGUGACAAUACCAGUGCUGUAACCACAUUUGAGACCAUUAGUAGGUAAUUUUCUUUCUUUGUGGGUAUAUCAAAAAACUGCUUGCAAAAAUCAGAUUUCUUGUCAAGCACUCCUCUUCUUCCCCAGUCCAGAUAUUUUUUUACUGUUCAAGCUCAGACUUAUAAAUGCAGCACAUUCUUACUAAAUGCAGCACAUUGAGAAGUCUUUGCAAGCCAGAUUCUCUGGGUAGUUGCUGCUUCUUGAGCUAAAAGCUCCUUAUAGCCCCGUGGUAUAGAAGGAGUAAACAAAAACCUUCUGUCACUUACCUGAUUCCAGUGUGGAAGUUCCUUCCGCCUUCGCUCCUCCCCCGCCAGCUGACCUUCGGAAAUCUAAAGCACAUGUGCUGUGAGAACCGCACUCGCAUCAGGACUUAACCCAUAGGAAAGCAUUGUAUAAAUUAUGCUGGAUGUCCUCAUGCAUAGCAUGAGGAUGACCAGCGUCAGGCGACCAAAGGUCGCCUAAGCAACGGGAAGUCCCUCUAGAGCAGGGGUUCUUAACGCAGUCCUCAAGGACCCCCUACCAGUCCAGGAUUUAGGGAUUACCUGGGUGUGUUU